ensembl:lncRNA
ACGCAACAUUUUUAAACUUUCAGCUAAGCGUUUGGUGGCAGUAAUGUGGAGUUGUAAAAGCGGCAAAGAAACUGUAUCAAUUCAACGCUGAGUUCAAGAGAAUUACCACCGUCCCACUUCAAUCCAGGUUCCUGUCUCAGCUGGACGUUCACUCUGAUAAACUGACGAGGCUGUUCCAAAGGAGAGGAGGACAUCUAGGGCAAAAGCGCAAUAAUGGCAGAUUGUGAUGAUGUCGAUGUUGGACGAGAGUGCAUUAUCAAGGGAGUCUGCAUCUACAUGGGUGAAAAUCCAGAAAACCUUGUGCACGAUUACGCGGGCAUGGAUGGAGACGCCUUCAAUGCUGCUAUUGAAAAAACGGGAUUUAUAAAAGAGAAUGAGGCAAGUGAGGAAUCUGAGGACAUUGGAGUUGUCCUCGAAGGCAUCAGGUUGUUAAGAGAUUUAGACAAUAUAUCAUUAGCGGUUGCUAUGCUUUUUGGACUGAUGUACGCACUGAACAUCAGCUACCCCGCCGACCUCCGGUACACCUUUGAGGUAGUACAGAAGAUACUCGCGCUGAAAAACCGUCUCUUCCAAUGAACGGGUCAAACACAGCGCUGCCUCUCGGUAAACCUCAGAUGAUCACUGGCCUUAAUUUGUGUUAUUCAUUUCUGUUCCUUAUUUGGUGUAUAAACAUGUGUUGCUCUAGGUAUUCUAGGUUUCUAUUGAUAGUGAUACGUUUAUUUUUUGUGUGUUGAGCCACUGCUGUGAUAGUAUCCAGUUUGUGUGUUCAGCCACUGCUGUUGAUGGUAUCCAGUUUGUGUGUUCAGCCACUGCUGUUGAUGGUAUACAGUUUGUGUGUUCAGCCAGUGCUGUUGAUGGUAUCCAGUUUGUGUGUUCAGCCAGUGCUGUUGAUGGUUAUCCUGUUUAGUGGAAGAGGCAAUGUGCUUGUUACUAUGUGAAUGGAUCUGCACUCCAUAUUUUGUACGGAAGCAAGUGUAUGUUUGUGAAUUACCAUAAUGUAUAGCUGUUGGCUAAUGACAUGUUGCAACACAAAGGGAGAGCGGUAAAAAAA